AGCGAACGCUGGCGGCAGGCCUAACACAUGCAAGUCGAACGAACCUUUCGGGGUUAGUGGCGGACGGGUGAGUAACACGUGGGAACGUGCCUUUAGGUUCGGAUUAACUCAGGGAAACUUGUGCUAAUACCGAAUGUGCCCUUCGGGGGAAAGAUUUAUCGCCUUUAGAGCGGCCCGCGUCUGAUUAGCUAGUUGGUUGAGGUAAUGGCUCACCAAGGCGACGAUCAGUAGCUGGUCUGAGAGGAUGAUCAGUCACAUUGGGACUGAGACACGGCCCAAACUCCUACGGGAGGCAGCAGUGGGGAAUCUUGCGCAAUGGGCGAAAGCCUGACGCAGCCAUGCCGCGUGAAUGAUGAAGGUCUUAGGAUUGUAAAAUUCUUUCACCGGGGACGAUAAUGACGGUACCCGGAGAAGAAGCCCCGGCUAACUUCGUG
rnacentral:rRNA from 1 species